GUGGGGAAUAUUGGACAAUGGGCGCAAGCCUGAUCCAGCCAUGCCGCGUGAGUGAUGAAGGCCUUAGGGUUGUAAAGCUCUUUUGUCUGGGAAGAUAAUGACUGUACCGGAAGAAUAAGCCCCGGCUAACUUCGUGCCAGCAGCCGCGGUAAUACGAAGGGGGCUAGCGUUGUUCGGAAUCACUGGGCGUAAAGCGCACGUAGGCGGACCAUUAAGUCAGGGGUGAAAGCCUGGAGCUCAACUCCAGAACUGCCUUUGAUACUGAUGGUCUCGAGUAUGGAAGAGGUUGGUGGAACUGCGAGUGUAGAGGUGAAAUUCGUAGAUAUUCGCAAGAACACCGGUGGCGAAGGCGGCCAACUGGUCCAUUACUGACGCUGAGGUGCGAAAGCGUGGGGAGCAAACAGGAUUAGAUACCCGAGUAGUCC
rnacentral:rRNA from 1 species